rnacentral:rRNA from 1 species
AUAUCCCCGAGGGGCAUCCCUGGGGGAGGAAAGCUCCGGCGGACGGGGAUGGGCAUGCGGCGCAUUAGCUAGACGGCGGGGUGACGGCCCACCGUGGCGACGAUGCGUAGGGGUUCUGAGAGGAAGGUCCCCCACACUGGUACUGAGACACGGACCAGACUCCUACGGGAGGCAGCAGUGAGGAAUAUUGGUCAAUGGCCGGAAGGCUGAACCAGCCAAGCCGCGUGAGGGAAGACGGCCCUACGGGUUGUAAACCUCUUUAGCCGGGGAACAAGGCGCGGGACGAGUCCCGCUGUGAGCGUACCCGGAGAAUAAGCAUCGGCUAACUCCGUGCCAGCAGCCGCGGUAAUACGGAGGAUGCGAGCGUUAUCCGGAUUUAUUGGGUUUAAAGGGUGCGUAGGCGGUUGCUUAAGUCAGCGGUCAAAUGGCGGGGCUCAACCCCGUCCAGCCGUUGAAACUGGGUGGCUUGAGUCGGCGAGAAGUACGCGGAAUGCGCGGUGUAGCGGUGAAAUGCAUAGAUAUCGCGCAGAACUCCGGUUGCGAAGGCAGCGUACCGGCGCCGUACUGACGCUGAGGCACGAAAGCGUGGGUAUCGAACAGGAUUAGAUACCCUGGU